AUGGUCACUCAGGGGUCACUCAGCGGUCACUCAGGGGUCACUCUGGGGUCACUCAGGGAGGUCGGUGGUCACUCAGGGGUCACUCAGGGAGGCCGAUGGUCACUCAGGGAGGCCGAUGGUCACUUGGGGUCACUCGGGCAGGUCGAUGACCAGCUCGUCGUCCCCGUCCAGGGAAGGUCGGUGGUCACUCGGUGGUCACUCAGGGAGGUCGAUGGUCACUCAGGAAGGCCGAUGGUCACUCAGCGGUCACUCAGUGGUCACUGGUCACUCGGGGUCACUCGGGGUCACUCGGGCAGGUCGAUGACCAGCUCGUCGUCCCCGUCCAGGGAAGGUCGGUGGUCACUCAGGGGUCACUCAGGGAGGUCGAUGGUCACUCAGGGAGGUCGGUAGUCACUCAGUGGUCACUCAGGGGUCACUCAGCGGUCACUGGUCACUCAGUGGUCACUCAGGGGUCACUCAGCGGUCAGUGGUCACUCGGGGUCACUCGGGGUCACUCGGGGUCACUCGGGCAGGUCGAUGACCAGCUCGUCAUCCCCGUCCAGGGAAGGUCAGUGGUCACUCAGGGAGGCCGAUGGUCACUCAGGGGUCACUCAGAGGUCACUGGUCACUCGGGGUCACUCGGGGUCACUCGGGGUCACUCGGGCAGGUCGAUGACCAGCUCGUCGUCCCCGUCCAGGGGGUCGUCGCUGCCCUCCCCCUCCCCCUCCCCGCCCCCGGGGCCGCUCAGGAGCCGCCGGGGCAGCGUGGGGGGCACGGGGGGCGGGGCCGGGGGCGGGGCCAGCGCCGGGGGGAGGGGCGAGCCGGGGCCACGCCCCCCGCCCAGCCCCGCCCCCGCCUCGCCCCCAGGGAGGGGCAGAGGGGGAGGGGCCGGAGGGGGCUGGGGGGGAAGAGAAGGGGGGGAGGGGUCAGUGAGUGACCACUGAGUGACCGCUGACCCCUCCUUGACCCCCAUGACCCCUCCCCAUUUAACCCCACCCCUUUCCCCUUUUAACCCCGCCUUUUUUCUUAAGC
ensembl:lncRNA